rnacentral:rRNA from 1 species
UACAGAGGGCUCAAGCGUUGUUCGGAUUCAUUGGGCGUAAAGGGUGUGUAGGUGGCGCCGUAAGUCGGGUGUGAAAUUUCGGAGCUUAACUCCGAAACUGCAUUCGAUACUGCGGUGCUUGAGGACUGGAGAGGAGACUGGAAUUCAUGGUGUAGCAGUGAAAUGCGUAGAGAUCAUGAGGAAGACCAGUGGCGAAGGCGGGUCUCUGGACAGUUCCUGACGCUGAGGCACGAAGGCCAGGGGAGCAAACGGG